UGCUUUGAUACACACACUUAUCUAACAGCACAGGGAAGGAAGAAGAGGAAAGAAAAAACCUCUAUUGUGCUGAGUAGAUCGAUGAUGAUCUUUUUGUGAUUUUGUAUACCUACACAACAUCAUCGGGAAAUAUUUUUUUUCUGAUUGUUUAACAUGUGGCAGGUUUUUACAAGAGAGACCGGAUUUAAAUUUGUGAGAUAAAAAGAUUAUUAUAUCCCUUGUUACGUAAUCCAUAGCAAUCAGAUAAAAAAAAAUAUAUCUGUAAAACCUCCAGAGUACGUUCAAAAUUAAGGUAUACAACCCAGAAAAACAAUCAGUGAAGAGUCAAAAAAAAAAAAAAACUAGUCAGAGUUGCAUGUUAUAGAUGCGUGAUCGUUUGGCACUUGCGGGGUUGUGUAUUUUAGGAGAAGAUUACGCCUAAACUUGAUGAUUUCAUUUAUCUUAGUUCUGUUGUUUUGUGUGUAUAUAUAUAUUUUUUAAUUAUUGCGAUGAAAUAUAUGAAUGAAUACCAGAAAUGGAAAUGCUCCGAAAGUUUUGGAACAGUCCCAUCGGACCAAAAACGACUCACUUUUGGGGUCCUACUUUCAACUGGAGCCUUCCCAUAGCGGCAGCACUGGACACAAAGAAACCCCCAGAGAUGAUCUCUCUCAACAUGACUGCAGUGAUGUGUGGAUAUUCGGCGUUGUUCAUGAGGUUUGCUUGGGUGGUACGACCUCGUAACAUUCAUCUUAUGCUCUGCCAUAUGUCUAACGAGUCUGUGCAACUCUAUCAGCUUUCUAGGUACCUCUCCGCUCACAGGCAGGUGGAGAAGAAAAAAGAGGAGGAAGCAGAUCCCAAGUCAACCUCUGAUAGCCCAUCUGUUCAAUAAAUGUAAUAUUCCCCUUCCUUUUAAUGAUCACUGUGCCCAAAAAAAAAUUGCCGUCUAUAUCUGUCCAUCUUUAAUUUCCUUGUAAUCGAAUUUUCAGUUCACUCCGCAAGUUUACAAUCUCUCUCUCUCUUUAUGCAAUUCUGCAACUUUAUCACAAAUAAUAACGUCUAAAUACAGCAUUUGUCAUUCCUUGGUAA